rnacentral:tRNA from 1 species
CGGGGUGUAGCGCAGCUGGUAGCGCGCUUGGUUCGGGACCAAGAUGUCGCAGGUUCAAAUCCUGUCACUCCGACCA